rnacentral:tRNA from 1 species
GGAUUGUUGACUAAUCGGUAAGUCCCUGUAAUUUGAAUCCAGUUUAUAAAAGUUCGAACCUUUUCAAUCCA